AUGGAGCCCUGGUCUCAGAGCAGCAGGAGCAUGAGUCAGGAGGAGAGAGACACAGACCGACCCUCUUGGUCCAGUCUCCAGGCGUCCUCCUUUCCCACCUCUCACCGUGACGCCUCCAGCCAGCAGCAGGGAUCUCAGUGUUAUCAGCACACGCAGACACCCGGCCGCCCCGCGUCAUCCCAGGACGCCUCCCGUUUGUCCCCCUGCUGGGAAUCCUCGCUCCAGAGGCAGACGUUGCAUAGGGGCUCACAGAUUCAAUCCCACAAAAAGCGCUCCGAACCCCCUGCCUGCCUGUCAAGCCAGGCUCCGUCAUUCACUCAGCACGAAGAGGUGACACCAUCUUUGUCCUGUAGAAAUGCACGGACCUCCUCGCCUCUCCAAAUAAAACCGAGAGUUUAUGAGCGUCAAGUUGCACCGUGGAGAAACUCAACUGAGGAAAUCAGGCUGCCUUUCCUCUACAAUCCUCCAGACGAAGAGGAUCCUGAUGAGGUUUUGUUCCCCACAACAGUGCACCCUAAUGCCUAUGAAGAGGGGCGUGCAUUGGAUUGUUCCGGAGUUUCUUACUUCGAAGCAAGUGUAGUGACCUAUGGUGACACGUCACAUGCACAGAAUGAAAACAUUCAUUCGGAUAGCUGGAAUGUUCCCAGAAAGAAGCUAGCCACCACUGUAGCUGUGGACAGCCUCGCAAAGUGGAACCUACCACUAUGCAACCGUACUGAAGAGGCCAUUAGUGGAGGAGAAGAUGGAGGCAUAUUUUAUCAACAGGCAGAGGAGCAGAUGGUGGAUUCGGAAAAUGUGUCCGGCACAGAGCAUCAAAUGCAGGAUGGAGUAAUGUGUGAAGAGACGAGAUACCUGGCGGCACCAGUGCCCUUUGAGAAAGGAUCAGCCGAUGAAAUGGAGCGACUUCUUCUUUCGGGCACCAAUGAGAACACUAGUUUAGAGACGAGUUUGAAUUUAAUCUGGACCAAAAGCUUCUGCUCUGAGGUUGCAAUGUCUGGACAGAAGGAAGAUGUUGACUUUGAGAACAGAAUUAAUACAUGUGAACCUCUACCUUGCAUCGAGGAUAAAGAGAUGUACUGUACUGGCAGCCCCAAACAGAUCUUAGUACCUUUAGAAAGGAGAGAACACAAGGUGAGCCACUGCCGAGCUCGUUACCCUCAGGACGUGAGUCCGUCUGUAACUGAAAGAGCAGAGGAGCUCCCCACAGAAAACCCACUGAUGUGCAGCGACCCCACCAAAGUAGUCCCGGGUGACACCACUGCUGACGACCUGCAGAGAACCGCAGAGGAAAGAAUAGAUGUGAGCGAGGUCAAUCUGGAAGGGCAGAGGGAGGGCAGGGCAGGCAGCGACGCAAGCACAGGAGAUAAGGUGGAGACAGACAAGCCACAUUGUUGUGAUGUCCAAACAAGAGAAAGCUGGAGUAAAAGAGUUUAUAGAGAGCUCACUGUGUCAGCUGGAGGAGACAUCGAGCCAGAAGGGAGCGGGGCACACCGAAAUGAGUCCGGGAUGUUCCCUGUGGACGGCGAAAACGGGCGCACAGCUACAGGUAAGUGCAUGAUUAUCACUGCUUUUUACCCCCAUUAG
ensembl:lncRNA